GAUGAACGCUGGCGGCGUGCCUAAUACAUGCAAGUCGAGCGAACAGACGAGGAGCUUGCUCCUCUGACGUUAGCGGCGGACGGGUGAGUAACACGUGGAUAACCUACCUAUAAGACUGGGAUAACUUCGGGAAACCGGAGCUAAUACCGGAUAAUAUAUUGAACCGCAUGGUUCAAUAGUGAAAGACGGUUUUGCUGUCACUUAUAGAUGGAUCCGCGCCGCAUUAGCUAGUUGGUAAGGUAACGGCUUACCAAGGCAACGAUGCGUAGCCGACCUGAGAGGGUGUUCGGCCACCCUGGAACUGAGCCACGGUCCAGACUCCUACGGGAGGCAGCAGUAGGGAAUCUUCCGCAAUGGGCGAAAGCCUGACGGGGCAACGCCGCUUGAGUGAUGAAGGUCUUCGGAUCGUAAAACUCUGUUAUUAGGGAAGAACAAAUGUGUAAGUAACUAUGCACGUCUUGACGGUACCUAAUCAGAAAGCCACGGCUAACUACGUG
rnacentral:rRNA from 1 species